GUUUGCACUCAUCGGGGAAGGGUGAGAACCUUCGACUAAGGUUCGAUUCGAGCGAAAGCGAGAGAACGUUGCCACAGGCAACGGCCCGAAGGGUGAGGAGCGAAGCGACGAAUAAUCCUUCCCCCACC
rnacentral:sRNA from 1 species